rnacentral:misc_RNA from 1 species
AAGUCGUAACAAGGUUUCCGUAGGUGAACCUGCGGAAGGAUCAUUAAAUUGAAACAAACAAAAAAACACCACGUGGGCUUGCCCAUGUGCUGCAAGUUGUAAGUCUGCAUAGUUUUGAAAAAAAACUGAUGAGCAGCGGCUUGCGUGUUUUGUUUUAACCCUUGUUUUUUGCGUACCUAUCGUUUCCUCGGCGAGUUUGCUCGCCGGCUGGACAAAACUUAUAACCUUUUUUAAUCUUCAAUCAGCGUCUGAAUUAUACAUAAUAAUUACAACUUUCAACAACGGAUCUCUUGGUUCUG